ensembl:lncRNA
AGUCAGCUGGAAUUUGCUCCUUAGCCGGAGCUGCCUUCCCAGCUCCCAAGCCCAGGUCUUGAAGUGCAGGGAGGCAGGGUGGCCUGGGGGUGGUUCUCUCCACCACUUUGCUCUCCACGCUCUUCCUUCUGAAAGAAUUUCCAGGGCCAGGGAUUGAACCUGCACCAGAGCAGAGACCUGAGCCACUGCAGUGACAAUGCCAAAUCGUUAAUCCACUGGGACACCAGGGAACUCCUCACUGAGAUUCUAGAGCCACCCGGAUUGGAAGCGGCUAAACGGCCUCCCACCCUUAAUCUCACUGUCUGAAUGAUAAAUCCUGCAGGACUUCUCCUUCCAUUCAAGCCCUUCACACUCUCCUUUGAGGAGCUGCUGCCUCCACCCCCCGACUUGUGUGACCUGAUGACCAAUUGGAGAUGCCACAAGGAACAAAACUCAGCGAGGCCAGAAGAGUCGUUUGGUGCCCAAACUGCCACUCUAGGAAAUGUCUGCAAAUUCAUCCGUGUAAUGUAGUUGAUCAAUGAGGACAACAUGGUGGGUUUGCAUUCUCUCUCGCCCCAAGGAAGCUCAGAGGAACAAAAUGGUAACUGAUCACUUGGACUUUGUUGUCCAGUAAUCAUGAAAGACACAAAGGAUCCUGGUUCUUCUCCCUAUGAUGAGCUGCAAUCCCGAGGAUUUAUUGUGAGAUAAGGGGGCAGAUUCAAGGGUACAACAGUCUGUGGUCUUGAAAUAGGACAAAGGUAUUGGUUCCUUACAGGAAUGAAGCCAGUGAACUUAGACUUUAUUUAUUUAUUUAUUUAUUUUGUGGCAAGCCCACAUCAUGAGUAAGUGCCUGGGAUGGAACACAGUGAUGACAACACUAAAUCCUUAAUCUGCUGAGCCACCAGGAAACUCCUGACCUUGGUCUUAGCACCCCUCAUAUUCUGGUGAAUUUAUGGGCCACAGCCAGAGCUUUGGGGCUGCUGAAGAUGUAAUGCAGGAGGGCAACACAGGAGAGGUCAUGUGGGAAAGGAAGCUUGGUCACCAGUCAGAUUUGAGUAACUUUAGGGAGUCAUCACUUAUUAGCUAUUGGAAUAUGCAAAUAUGUAAAUCUCUGAGCCUAGGUUUCAUCAUCUACUUAAUGAGGAUGAUGACCUAAGGCAGAGGAUGGAGGAAGGAGGGUUAAGUGUGAUCAUGUAAAGUAUGCAGUCCCCUGCACGCAGUGAGUGAUUCCUCCAUGAAAGGUAGUAGAAGAGCUCCCUAGUGGCUCAACAGGUUAGGGACCUGACAUUGUCACUAGGGCUUCAAUCCUUGGCCUCAGGAAUUUCUUCAGGCUUCGGGCAUUGCUCUCCCUCCCUCUUCCGCUCAGACACCCCCCCCCACUCCCCCUCCCCCGCCAAAAUAGUGGAAUGCUACAGAUACAUAAGCUGGAGUGACAGUGGUCCAGCUUUUAAGCAGAAAUCAAGAAAUAUGUGUGUCUGUGGGUUGGGAAGGAAGGGAAAAAGGGAAGAUGGUGGCUCUGGGAUGAAUGCUAGUCUCUCCAAAGGCAGGGGCCAGGGAAGGGACUCAUGUGGGAGGUGAUGAAAUCAUCUUUCCCAAAGUCCAGGAGUAUCUAUCUAUCUCUUCAUUUACCACGCCCCCAACCUUCCUAGCCACGCAUCCUUCCUUGGUCAGGGCCCUGCUCCACCAGCUCCACUAGGGUCCCCCAGGGACCCAGGGAGGGUCAGCCAAUUACGGUUUUGUAUUCUAAGAUCUGGAGGGAUGGAGUUCCUGCCAUGGUCCAGCAGGUUACAAGCACAACUAGUAAUCCAUGAGGAUUCGGGUUCAAUCCCUGGCCUUUCUCAGUGGAUUAAGGAUCUAGUGUUUACUCAAGCUGUGGUGCAGGUCACAGAUGAAGCUUGGAUCUGAUGUUGCUGUGGCUGUGGUGUAGGCAGGCAGCUGUAGCUCCAGUUCAACCCCUAGCCUGGGAACCUCCAUAUGCCGCAGCUAUGGUCC